rnacentral:rRNA from 1 species
AGCGAUGGAUUGAGAGCUUGCUCUCAAGAAGUUAGCGGCGGACGGGUGAGUAACACGUGGGUAACCUGCCCAUAAGACUGGGAUAACUCCGGGAAACCGGGGCUAAUACCGGAUAACAUUUUGAACUGCAUGGUUCGAAAUUGAAAGGCGGCUUCGGCUGUCACUUAUGGAUGGACCCGCGUCGCAUUAGCUAGUUGGUGAGGUAACGGCUCACCAAGGCAACGAUGCGUAGCCGACCUGAGAGGGUGAUCGGCCACACUGGGACUGAGACACGGCCCAGACUCCUACGGGAGGCAGCAGUAGGGAAUCUUCCGCAAUGGACGAAAGUCUGACGGAGCAACGCCGCGUGAGUGAUGAAGGCUUUCGGGUCGUAAAACUCUGUUGUUAGGGAAGAACAAGUGCUAGUUGAAUAAGCUGGCACCUUGACGGUACCUAACCAGAAAGCCACGGCUAACUACGUGCCAGCAGCCGCGGUAAUACGUAGGUGGCAAGCGUUAUCCGGAAUUAUUGGGCGUAAAGCGCGCGCAGGUGGUUUUCUUAAGUCUGAUGUGAAAGCCCACGGCUCAACCGUGGAGGGUCAUUGGAAACUGGGAGACUUGAGUGCAGAAGAGGAAAGUGGAAUUUCCAUGUGUAGCGGUGAAAUGCGUAC